rnacentral:rRNA from 1 species
ACUCCUACGGGAGGCAGCAGUGGGAAUAUUGCACAAUGGGCGCAAGCCUGAUGCAGCCAUGCCGCGUGUGUGAAGAAGGCCUUCGGGUUGUAAAGCACUUUCAGUUGUGAGGAAGGUGGUGUCGUUAAUAGCGGCAUCAUUUGACGUUUAGCAACAUGAAGAAGCAACCGGCUAACUCCGGUGCCAGCAGCCGCGGUAAUACGGAGGGUGCGAGCGUUAAUCGGAAUUACUGGGCGUAAAGCGCAUGCAGGUGGUUUGUUAAGUCAGAUGUGAAAGCCCGGGGCUCAACCUCGGAACUGCAUUUGAAACUGGCAGACUAGAGUACUGGUA